AACACUACACAUUUUCCUAUCAACUCUAACUAAGAAAAAGAAAACCCGGUUCUGGUAACCGUAACCGAAACCGAACACCAUACCGACACCAUUUCUCAUUCACCACUAUGCCUACUAAGCCACUUAACUAUCUCUACUAAUUCACUCAAAGCUUUAACCACAGAAAACAUACUACCGGAAAACCAUUUCCGGUGAAGAAAUACUAAUUCCGGCGAUACUUACGUAUUUUCCGACGACGUCUUUUGUAACCAAAACGUGUUUUUGACCAAGGUUCACAGGUUACUUUGGGCGGGGUGGAGAGUGAAGAAUAAACCCUAGGAUGCUAAUCGAAGAUUGACACGUCAACCCAUCGAAGGGGAAGAAGAACAUCGGUGGAAGACUCCUUGGUCAAGUAUGUGUAUACCUUGCGAGAAGCCAUUGAUGAGAUGACAUCAGUGGAAGAAGCCUUAAUUGACCGUAUUAACCAUUUGUCGGUGGGGUUAGAGGGUUUCCUUCAAGAAGUCAACCUUUUGCACCAAAGGUUGAAUAUUCUUGCUUCACCUCCCAUGGUGCCAAUCGUCGCACAAAGAGGGUGGAAUGUCAUGCCGGAAGUUAUUAUUCCAGCCGGGUGGAAUGUCAUGCCUCCGGAACCUCCUCUAGACAUACUACACGGGGUUACGGUAGCCGUUGGGCCUCCUCCAC
rnacentral:lncRNA from 1 species